rnacentral:sRNA from 1 species
GGAAAAACAUUUUUAGCUCUCUUAAAACAAAACCUUGCAUUUGAUUUAAAAAAGGCGCAGAUUGAACUCUCUGUAUAAUAACAAAAAGCACGCGCUCGAACAGCGCGUGCUUUUUGUUA